rnacentral:rRNA from 1 species
UACAGAGGUGGCAAGCGUUGUUCGGAAUCACUGGGCGUAAAGGGCGCGUAGGCGGAUUGCUAAGUCAGGGGUGAAAUCCUGGAGCUCAACUCCAGAACUGCCUUUGAUACUGGCGAUCUCGAGUCCGGGAGAGGUGAGUGGAACUGCGAGUGUAGAGGUGAAAUUCGUAGAUAUUCGCAAGAACACCAGUGGCGAAGGCGGCUCACUGGCCCGGUACUGACGCUGAGGUGCGAAAGCGUGGGGAGCAAACAGG